rnacentral:rRNA from 1 species
AUUGAACGCUGGCGGAAUGCUUUACACAUGCAAGUCGAACGGCAGCACGGGGCAACCUGGUGGCGAGUGGCGAACGGGUGAGUAAUACAUCGGAACGUGCCCAAUCGUGGGGAAUAACGUAGCGAAAGUUACGCUAAUACCGCAUACGAUCUACGGAUGAAAGCGGGGGAUCGCAAGACCUCGCGCGAAUGGAGCGGCCGAUGUCAGAUUAGGUAGUUGGUGGGGUAAAGGCUCACCAAGCCAACGAUCUGUAGCUGGUCUGAGAGGACGACCAGCCACACUGGAACUGAGACACGGUCCAGACUCCUACGGGAGGCAGCAGUGGGGAAUUUUGGACAAUGGGCGCAAGCCUGAUCCAGCCAUUCCGCGUGCAGGAUGAAGGCCUUCGGGUUGUAAACUGCUUUGUACGGUAACGAAACGGUCUGCCCUAAUACGUGGGCUAAUGACGGUACCGUAAGAAUAAGCACCGGCUAACUACGUGCCAGCAGCCGCGGUAAU